GAUGAACGCUGGCGGCGUGCCUAAUACAUGCAAGUCGAGCGAACAGAUAAGGAGCUUGCUCCUUUGACGUUAGCGGCGGACGGGUGAGUAACACGUGGGUAACCUACCUAUAAGACUGGAAUAACUCCGGGAAACCGGGGCUAAUGCCGGAUAACAUGUUGAACCGCAUGGUUCUACAGUGAAAGGCGGCUUUGCUGUCACUUAUAGAUGGACCCGGGUCGUAUUAGCUAGUUGGUGAGGUAACGGCUCACCAAGGCAACGAUACGUAGCCGACCUGAGAGGGUGAUCGGCCACACUGGAACUGAGACACGGUCCAGACUCCUACGGGAGGCAGCAGUAGGGAAUCUUCCGCAAUGGGCGAAAGCCUGACGGAGCAACGCCGCGUGAGUGAUGAAGGUCUUCGGAUCGUAAAACUCUGUUAUUAGGGAAGAACAAAUGCGUAAGUAACUGUGCGCGUCUUGACGGUACCUAAUCAGAAAGCCACGGCUAACUACGUG
rnacentral:rRNA from 1 species